UACAUGGGGUGCAAACGUUGCUCGGAAUCAUUGGGCGUAAAGGGUGCGUAGGCGGCCAGAUAAGUCCGCUGUGAAAUCUCGAGGCUCAACUUCGAGCUGUCGGUGGAAACUAUCUGGCUAGAGUCCGGAAGAGGAGAAUGGAAUUCCUGGUGUAGCGGUGAAAUGCGCAGAUAUCAGGAAGAACACCCGUGGCGAAGGCGGUUCUCUGGGACGGUACUGACGCUGAGACGCGAAAGCAUGGGGAGCGAACAGG
rnacentral:rRNA from 1 species